AACUUUGCACAGUGAAAGUACUGAAACCAAUGAGGUAUAUCCGAGGUGCAAUUUUUGAUAGUUGAAAACUUUUAACAUAUAAACGAUAAGUUUGUUUUUUUCUAAUGUUACUGGUAUGCCGUUUUCUUUUUUAAAUUUUGCGGC